CGCCGGCGCUGCAAUUGGACCUAGGGAGCCGGGUGCAAGAGUGGCCUGUUCAGGUCGCAGAGCAAGCGGGUCUGGAUACACUCCGGUGGCGCCUCCACGGAGGCCCUCUUUCAACCCAAGUGGGCCUCGCGAACGGGGGUUAGGUCGAUGAGAAGCGCCAACACCUAUGGCUGCACCCACUGACUGUAUUAUCCUCUGCCCCACCUGUUGGAUUCACCCAACGCAACUCUUGGGAGACACUAGAAAUCAAGAAAGGAGGAAAACGAGGCUUUAAUCUUCUUGGGUUCCUCCAACAGCAGAUCUUGGUCAAAGUGAAAUAUUCCACGGGGGUUCGGGCCAAUGAGAAACAUCCUGCCUAAUCACCUGACCACAAGGCGGACAAAGGCCCAGCUAAAGAAACAUUAUCAUACCCUAUCGUGCAAAGGCCCAACUGAAGAAACAUCCCUAUCAUAUUCUGCUGGGAGAAAGUGCAGAGAACACCACAUUCCACCAGAACAAGGGCCAGAACCGCCUCAUCAUGGAACCAUCUUAUCAACAUCCUGCUGGGCAGCAAACCAUACUGCUCAGACCCCUCCCACCCAUAACUAUAAGUACCCCCAGCCUAUAAGCAGCAGUGGGCUCUGGCAUUAGGCUGGUUACCCACUUCCACAGGUGUCUGCAGUAUACCUGAGUUGCUGUUGAGCCGCCUUCUGUCUGUGUGUCUUUAACCCUCACCUUCCCUCCAAAACCUAACAAGGAGGGCUACCCUCUAGGCAGUGUGCUGAGAAUAGCACCUCGGGGCAAGGCUGCAGUCACAUUUAUACCCACUUUUAAUGACGUGCUAAUUAAGGGGUGGGUUUUCAGAAUUAGCAAAUUGGCAGUAACUUAUGGGUGUUGCCAUGGCAAUGGUAAACUGUCAUGGUGCUGGCAGG
rnacentral:lncRNA from 10 species